GACGAACGCUGGCGGCGUGCCUAAUACAUGCAAGUCGAACGCUUCUUUUUCCACCGGAGCUUGCUCCACCGGAAAAAGAGGAGUGGCGAACGGGUGAGUAACACGUGGGUAACCUGCCCAUCAGAAGGGGAUAACACUUGGAAACAGGUGCUAAUACCGUAUAACAAUCAAAACCGCAUGGUUUUGAUUUGAAAGGCGCUUUCGGGUGUCGCUGAUGGAUGGACCCGCGGUGCAUUAGCUAGUUGGUGAGGUAACGGCUCACCAAGGCCACGAUGCAUAGCCGACCUGAGAGGGUGAUCGGCCACAUUGGGACUGAGACACGGCCCAAACUCCUACGGGAGGCAGCAGUAGGGAAUCUUCGGCAAUGGACGAAAGUCUGACCGAGCAACGCCGCGUGAGUGAAGAAGGUUUUCGGAUCGUAAAACUCUGUUGUUAGAGAAGAACAAGGAUGAGAGUAACUGUUCAUCCCUUGACGGUAUCUAACCAGAAAGCCACGGCUAACUACGUGCCAGCAGCCGCGGUAAUACGUAGGUGGCAAGCGUUGUCCGGAUUUAUUGGGCGUAAAGCGAGCGCAGGCGGUUUCUUAAGUCUGAUGUGAAAGCCCCCGGCUCAACCGGGGAGGGUCAUUGGAAACUGGGAGACUUGAGUGCAGAAGAGGAGAGUGGAAUUCCAUGUGUAGCGGUGAAAUGCGUAGAUAUAUGGAGGAACACCAGUGGCGAAGGCGGCUCUCUGGUCUGUAACUGACGCUGAGGC
rnacentral:rRNA from 1 species